CGAACGGGUGAGUAACGCGUGAGGAACCUGCCUCAAAGAGGGGGACAACAGUUGGAAACGACUGCUAAUACCGCAUAAGCCCACGGGUCGGCAUCGACCAGAGGGAAAAGGAGCAAUCCGCUUUGAGAUGGCCUCGCGUCCGAUUAGCUAGUUGGUGAGGUAAUGGCCCACCAAGGCACGAUCGGUAGCCGGACUGAGAGGUUGAACGGCCACAUUGGGACUGAGACACGGCCCAGACUCCUACGGGAGGCAGCAUG
rnacentral:rRNA from 1 species